CUGAUACGUAAGUCCCGUGGCAGUCAUAAAGUAAGAAAAACAUUGAAAAUAUGCUUUCAAGCAUAAGCAUUUAAACUUCUUUGGGAAACAGAUUAAUUAAAUGCACUUGUAGGAAAAUGGAAGGUUUAGGAAAGAGUUAUUCCUGCUACUCCUAGCCAGUAUUUCCAAGACCAAUCAAGAGCCAGGGAAGAAAUUGUGGAGAAUAAUACACAGAGGGAAUACUGUACUUCAGAGCUGGAAAAUUUCCUCUGGAGUAGGUAAGGUUUGGAGGUCAACUGCAGUGAGGUCUCUAUACCACAGAGUGGUGAGUCCCCAAGUCCCGGUGAACUCAGGAAAUGGGCAUUAUCCUCUGGAAGAUGUUUAUAGAGGUGACUUUUUUGUUAAAGAAGACAACUUGAUAGCAGACCGGCCUAAUCUGAAGUACUAGCUUGACAACUGUUAGUUUAUAGAGCAAUAUGUGGAACCCAAUCUGUCUACCCCCUACUCCAAGAAUUUGCUGAGAAGACAUCAGUUUCAUUCCUGC
rnacentral:lncRNA from 1 species